GGCUCCGUGGUGCAGUGGUAGCAUAAGGCUGUGGUUUGCCCUUCCAAGUCUAGUUUCCGGGUUCGAAUCCCGGCGGAGCCA